AUAUUCCAUACAUCACACUAGAUAGAUAUCAUCUUCAUGGAAUACGAUUCACUUUCAAGAUGCCUUGGUGGUGAAAUGGUA
rnacentral:tRNA from 2 species